UAGGGAAUCUUCCGCAAUGGGCGAAAGCCUGACGGAGCAACGCCGCGUGAGUGAUGAAGGUCUUCGGAUCGUAAAACUCUGUUAUUAGGGAAGAACAAAUGUGUAAGUAACUAUGCACGUCUUGACGGUACCUAAUCAGAAAGCCACGGCUAACUACGUGCCAGCAGCCGCGGUAAUACGUAGGUGGCAAGCGUUAUCCGGAAUUAUUGGGCGUAAAGCGCGCGUAGGCGGUUUUUUAAGUCUGAUGUGAAAGCCCACGGCUCAACCGUGGAGGGUCAUUGGAAACUGGAAAACUUGAGUGCGGAAGAGGAAAGUGGAAUUCCAUGUGUAGCGGUGAAAUGCGCAGAGAUAUGGAGGAACACCAGUGGCGAAGGCGACUUUCUGGUCUGUAACUGACGCUGAUGUGCGAAAGCGUGGGGAUCAAACAGG
rnacentral:rRNA from 2 species